UUGGGGUACAUUUUCGUUCUUUCAAGUACAAUUUUGACCCUGUACCUUGUAUUGGUACUAAUAGGUACCAUUUCGGGUACAUAAAUAAUGUACCUUUUCACCAAGGGACCAUAUUGUACCUAUGGGUACAAAAAGCCCAUGGACUGUCACUCAGAAGUUGAUAGGGGAGGAGAUUCGGGAGCAACCGUUAUUUUUUCGUCUCACUCAAAGUAUUGAAAGUAAUGGAGGAGCAGUUUUCAGCAGAGGAGCUUGGUGUGGGGAAACGUGCUGUGGUGCUGGCAUAAUCUUUAUGGAACAGGAGGCAACGCUAUUCAGAGAUAACCACCAAGGCAGAAUGUUGGCGUGUGGAAGUACCUCUACUCAGAGUGAUAGAGAAAACUAUGGCUCUGCUUUUACUGAAGGAAUGGCUACCGGAGCGGGCAGCUUUAUGAAUAUAAGGUGAAAAGGAUGUAUGGAGAAGUUUUGGGAGAGUCAGACAGUCCACGGAACUUGCAUUGACUUAGCAAUGAUCUAUGCCAGACGUACAACCCCUGCUGUCAUUGGUGAUACCACUGCUUGAAAAUAUGUCAACGUCCUGUAGAUCAAGUAAGGUUCCAGUCGAAGUCCUCCUGAAGAAUUUGUUGGAUUUCUGCCAGUUUUUGAUAUUGAACUUUAGUGCCUUUUGAGACUCUUGGCUUUUUAAUGGCACGCCUCAUUCUACCCAAAUGGAAGGAUUGGAGUGUGUUUAUAUUGUAUAUGUUUAUAGGCUUGCUAAUAUUUGCUUAGGCUUUCACAUUGUUUUCUGAGAUACUUCUCAAUU